UACGUAGGGUGCGAGCGUUGUCCGGAAUUACUGGGCGUAAAGAGCUCGUAGGUGGUUUGUCGCGUUGUUCGUGAAAACUCACAACUCAAUUGUGGGCGUGCGGGCGAUACGGGCAGACUGGAGUACUGCAGGGGAGACUGGAAUUCCUGGUGUAGCGGUGGAAUGCGCAGAUAUCAGGAGGAACACCGGUGGCGAAGGCGGGUCUCUGGGCAGUAACUGACGCUGAGGAGCGAAAGCUAGGGGAGCAACGGG
rnacentral:rRNA from 1 species